UGACGGAUGAGACUCCGGCGCCAUAAAAUCGAAAUCACGUAAAUUGGGUCAAGCAGUGGUGCAAUAAACAAAAUGCCACACACGGUUGAAAUACAUCAGGAAAAACUCAGGAUUCCUUGUAUGGGCCUCAGUCCUCUUUUAUUCAUUUUUACUAUCGGAUUGUGGGACAAAGCUAGAGAGGAGCUACAUAGGAGAACAUGUUAACAUCACAAGCGGAAAGCCAAAAUCAUUCUUCAUGCGAGAGAAAGGCGCUACUCCGCAACAUUAUUGGGGAAACCAAGCAGUCAGCAGCAGAGCAGUAGAGCUCCAUUUCCCCGCCACAGGCCACAGACUCUUCUCCUCGCUCCUCCCACUGCUCCGCACACCCCCACCUCUCGACAAAAAGGACAUUGAUGGAGAGGCGGCACACUAAAGGCAAAAUGCGUAUGUUUCAUGAUGGAUCACAAUGGCUUGUGGUUUUCAUUGGCGGCCUCAUUUCUCAAAAUGGUGACGGAGACAAGCGUGGGAAAGAGGCAAACUGUAUAUUGACUG